AUUGAACGCUGGCGGCAUGCUUUACACAUGCAAGUCGAACGGUAACAGGCCGCAAGGUGCUGACGAGUGGCGAACGGGUGAGUAAUGCAUCGGAACGUGCCCAGUCGUGGGGGAUAACGCAGCGAAAGCUGCGCUAAUACCGCAUACGAUCUAUGGAUGAAAGCGGGGGACAGUAAGGCCUCGCGCGAUUGGAGCGGCCGAUGUCAGAUUAGGUGGUUGGUGGGGGAAAGGCUCACCAAGCCAACGAUCUGUAGCUGGUCUGGUAGGACGACCAGCCAAAAGGGGACUGAGACACGGACGAGACUCCUACGGGAGGCAGCAGUGGGGAAUUUUGGAGAAUGGGCGCAAGCCUGAUCCAGCAAUGCCGCGUGCAGGAAGAAGGCCUUCGGGUUGUAAACUGCUUUUGUACGGAACGAAACGGCUCUCACUAAUACUGGGGGCUAAUGACGGUACCGUAAGAAUAAGCACCGGCUAACUACGUGCCAGCCGCCGCGGUAACAC
rnacentral:rRNA from 1 species